rnacentral:rRNA from 1 species
UUAGGAAUCUUGCGCAAUGGGAGAAAUCCUGACGCAGCAAUGCCGCGUGAGGGACGAAGGCCUUCGGGUUGUAAACCUCUUUUAGUUGGGAAGAUUCAAGACGGUACCAACAGAAAAAGCACCGGCUAACCCUGUGCCAGCAGCCGCGGUGAUACAGGGGGUGCUAGCGUUAUUCGGAAUUACUGGGCGUAAAGCGUGCGCGGGCUGUUUAGCAAGUCUGAUGUGAAAGCCUUCAUCUCAAGUGAAGAAGUGCAUCAGAUACUACUAGACUAGAGUGCAGGAGGGAGGAGCGGAAUUCCAGGUGUAGAAGUGAAAUUCGUAGAUAUCUGGAGGAACAACGGUAGCGAAGGCGGCUCCUUGGACUGUUACUGACGCUGAGGCACGAAAGCGUGGGGAGCAAACAGG